UGAUGGAGUUACCCUGCCUUCAGACUGAUCAGAUACGGCUGUGGGCUGGGGCUGGGAUCUUGGGAGACUGACAGACCCUCUUGGUGGAAGCUGGGAAAGAAAAGUGCGAUGGGAAAGUGAGGCAAGGCCAGCCGCACUGAGCGUCCCAGGCUGAUCCUGGCACAGUUUCUGCAAAACGUUGGCCCAUGAGAUUGGAGUUGGGAUGUGAGGCACUGGCUCAGUGAAAUAAAGAGAUGGCGUUCCUUGGAAUGGAGGUGGUCUAGAAAAUGAGGUAUGAAUAUGCACUUCAUGAUUAUAAAAAUAACUGUCAUCUGGAGCAGAGUGACAUUUCCCUGGGACCGAACUACAGGAUGAACUUGAAGCUGGCUAAAGAAAGUACGGUCAGGAAACAUCUGGGGUCUUGCCUGAAGUUUUGGGGAUCGUGUUUUGAGGAAAAUAUUUAUCGAAGUAUGCACUAACAUGGAAGACCAAUCAACGUCUACUAUCAUUUCCUGUUUGCACACUGACAAGAUAAAAAUGGAAAACACUACUAAAAAGAGGAAAUGCUAAAAGGAUGGAGGCUUUAUUUCUUUGGAAAAUCCUUCCUUGGACUAAAAGUAUGUUUUAUCAUAAAGUAAGCUAUUGAAACUACAUACAGGGAUCUUUUUUUUUUUUUUUUUUUUUCAAUUCAUGGUUGGGAUUGAUUGUGCUGAUAACUUGAUAUUGCUAUUACAUAGAUGUUUAUAUUCUCUCUCCUGUUCUCUUUAUGUGGGUGUCCUAGAAUCCCAAAACUAUGUUAAUGUCUGGCAAUUUGAAAGCUUAUGUUCUAUCUAUCUAUGAAACAAAGCAAAACAAACCUCUAACAUUUCAUUUUAAGCUUCUUUAAGUAGCAGUUAACUAUGGGUUUGGGAAUUAGAUAGCCCUCAGGGAAUUGUGGCUCUGUCACCUUACCAGCAUUGUGACCUUGGGCAAGAUACUAACCUAAGUUUAGUUUCCUCAGCUGUAAAAUGGAGAUAACAGUGCCACUAAUCCCUUUAUUUGCUGAUUCGAUACACAUUCACUGUUCUCCCUAUCAACAGUAAUUUCCAAUUUCAUCAUCCCAACCUAGGCUUCAUUCAAGUUUUGUUUGCUUCUUUGGGUAAACUGACUGUACCAAAUUUUCCCAGUCUCACAUUACCCCCCCAAAAAAGAACUGAGCCACAUUAUUUAAUACUGAAAUAAAUUAGGAGAAGAAAAGAAGUAGCUUGUACCUUUUGAAUUUACUAAUGUCUUUAUCUUAUUAUUUAUAGAAACCAACUACCUCUGAAAUCGUCAUUUAUUAAUCAUUAUAUUUACUUAUGAAUAAUGUAGCAGAAGUUAUAUUUUGGAUGAUGGAGUUGAUUAUCUUUCUAUUCCAUUUACCUCUUUAUUGAGAUUUUCCCUCAAGUUAUCCAGAAUUACAUCUCCCUUAUCUGGUAAGAUUACUGCAAUAUGGACUCAAAAGACAUAUUCAAAUAGGUUUGGGUAGUAAUUUUGGUUAAAUAGAUUAGUGGUGAUCAACAGAGCUAGAAAGUAAAUUAUUAGUCUAUAUAUAUUAAAAUAAUCUAAGAAGAGUUUUGUGGUUAACUGCAUAUGAUGUUAUAAGGCAAGACAAUGUUUUUUUUAGAAGUAAAACAAGUUAAGAAAUGUAAAAAAUAAACAUUUGGUUUAA